UGAAAUCUCGGGGCUCAACCCCGAAACUGCGUCUGAAACUACAGGUCUAGAAUCUUGGAGGGGGAAGGGGAAUUUCGCAUGUAGGGGUAAAAUCCGUAGAUAUGCGAAGGAACACCAGAGGCGAAGGCGCCUUCCUGGACAAGUAUUGACGCUGAGGCGCGAAAGCGUGGGGAUCAAACAGGAUUAGAUACCCUGGUAGUCCACGCUGUAAACGAUGAAUACUAGAUAUUGCAGGAUUUGACCCCUGCAGUGUCGUAGCUAACGCGUUAAG
rnacentral:rRNA from 1 species